GUACUAGUAUUUGUUCUUACUCUUAAAUACAGUGUGCUGUGUGGAGGUGCAGACUUUUUACGAAUUGUUCAAGUUUGAUUUGAUCUUGUGGGGAUCAAACCUAUGGUACUCAUUGAGUAUGCGUCAAUGAGAUCACAAAGACAGUUUUACUCUGAACUUAAUUGACCAUUUUUUGCUUUUACUGUGUAAUUCUGUAUACUUAGGGAGACUUGAACACACCAUGGAUCACAAC
rnacentral:lncRNA from 1 species